GUAACCAUUUUAUUCCAACAUAUAGCAUCCCCACUCUGAUAAGAUCAGAUAAUGGGACACACUUUGUCAAUGAGGUAAUCAGCAAAGUCUCUGAAGCACUAGGAUUCAGCAUCAAAUAUCACUGUGCUUAUCAUCCUCAAAGUGCCGGCCUAGUAGAAAGGACAAACGGCACAAUAAAACAGAGGCUUAGAAAAUGCAUGGAAGAAACAGGAAGGCCAUGGCCUGAGUGUAUAGGCCUAGUAAAAAUGUGGAUGAGAUUAACCCAAUGCUUGCAGAAACUGACACCAUUUGAAAUUGUACAUGGUAGACCUUUUCCUCUGCCCAUCACCAGUGAACCAAUAGACAAAUCAGUUAGAGAAACAACCCUAGCAGAAUGGAUGACAAAACUGCUAGAGAACAAAGAAAUAGUUCUGAGCAACCAACUGCCGAAUGAUUCUUCUCCAGUCUCUUCCAGGUUGAAACCAGGCGACUGGAUCCUGAUCAAGGUUCUCCAGAGGAAAAACUGGAGCUCACCGAGGUGGGAGGGCCCUUUUCAGGUCCUGCUAACGACGCCAACAGCGUGCAAGACCGCUGAAAGACCUUCGUGGAUCCACCAGAGCCACACCAAAAAAAGUACAAGGGGACACAAGCCCAGACGCCAGUUCACCUGUCAUCUAGUGAUCUGUAAGUGGAGGAGAGGGCAGAUUGGGUAUACCCGCCCUCUUGACUUCUCGCUUUCAGUCAACACACUAGGUGAUCUGGUGAACUUGGUCGACCUGAAGAAACCCCAUUGUAGCCCGAGCACCGACCUAGCCCCACCUGCCCGGUAGAGUAAAGGAAGAUCAGUCCAACCUGCAAAACCAGAAGAGCAACCCAUCACUCAAAUGGAGAGGACCCAGUCCCCAACAGGACUCGACGACGAUGCUGGUCAGAGGAAUGCCAACUAAUGCAUAAUUAUGUACCUCAUAACAAAAUUGAAAUGGCAUUCUUUGUAAACCUACUACAAACUCUAGAAACAGUAAUGAAUACAAGUCUGCGUGCAUGUGCUCCAAAAGAACCAAUAAAGAACUUAACAACACUUCCGGUCACACCGCCCGAACUAGCCCAUAACAUGACCAUGGUCUGCCUAUGGAGACUUAGAGUCCCAGAAAAGCAGGGUGUAUCUUUUGUUUAUCCAAAUAAGACACUGCAACCGGAAUCUUCCUGGCACAAGCUUAUAGCCCGAUAGCAACUGAGGAAGAAGAAGACUGUGUUUAAAAAUUUCCUGUACUUAACAUGACUAGCAAUUGAAAAUGUGCAAACAAGUGAUUGUCUACUGAAGCCUAUGAAGUAUGAGUGAAAUAUAUUAACAACAGGAGGGAAUGUUAUGAGAUUCUAUGUUUUUUAUGUGUUUUAUUCUUUGUUUUAUUAUCUUUUAAUAUUCAAGCAUAUUGUAAAGUGUUUAUAUAUUUCACAGAAUUUGCUGUACUUCUCCAUGUCACAAGAUUCGAUGUAUUGCUCCAUUGUCAUGCAACCCGACAGUGAACUCUGCAAUACAUAUAGUUUAAGCAGGAAACAGAUGCGGGUCACCCAGACUACAAUAGAAAACGGAUGAGGCACCUAAACCACAACAGGAAAACAGAUGCGCGACUCCCUAACCACAAAAGAUUAAGUCAGCGCCACGUCUUUUAGAAAGAAGCAGACACACACACACAUAUACAACUGUUGGUUUAAAGGAAUUUGUAAAAGAGGAAAUGUGACGUAUUUGCAUACGCGAUGUAACCUAUAAAUAAAGAACUGUGCCUGCACUCAGGGUGUGGGUCUCGCCAGAGUCCUCACCCGUGCGUGAGUCUCGUCAGAGUUCUCACCCGUGCACGUUAAUGUUAUUACAUUCUAA